UUGGUAGAGACAUUCACAAGACUUAAUAAUUGUUUGGUUGACUGAAUAGGACUUCUGUCCAGAGAUCUCACCAUUCACAUCAUCAUCUAUACCUGAAAGUGUUUCGAAAUUUACAUAGAAUUCUGUUGAAUUUUUGUCAUGUAUGUGGUUACUUACAAAUGUUUAUUGUUUUUGUGAUUUUUAGUUCUUCAGGAUUUUGAUUUCUUCUGUUAAAAUUUCUUCUAAGAAAAGAAAACAAACGAAGAAUUUCAUAUUUUGUUUAUUAUUAGCUUGCCUGUCUAAAAAGGACAUGUGAUCAGCUUUUUUCCAUCACUUGGGCACAUCUUUUAUGGAAUUUCAAUAUUAAACUUUUACUUAGACAGAAUUAUUACAAGCUGAAGCUUAUACCUGUUAUGUGUGCAUACAUUUGUAUUUUUAUGUGUACUUGUUUAUAGCAAUGUUUUGUAUUUAGUAAAUUACAUGUACAUGUUACUUUGUAUAAUGAAUCCGGUUGUUUGAGCUUUGUUAAGCAAUUGUAUACUGUUGAUUAUAAGUUUGUGCUGAUUCUAAAUGAAUAUAAAAAUAAGAAUGUGCAGUGUGAGUGCCAAACGCUGCAUCAGAGACCAAAAGAUAUAGAAAUUUACAACUAAAGGUUAUCAUAAGGCCUUCAUCAAUGAGCAAAACCGAUACUGCAUAUUCCGCUACUGGUAUACCAGGGCCUCCAAUGACAAAUGUUAAACAUUUCAAAUGAAAAAACUAACGGCCUAACUUAAUAACAAAACAAUGAACAAAAUAUAAAAUACAGCUACAAACAAGAACCACUGUGUUACAAGCUCCCGACUUGGGUCAGGCACAUACGGAAGGUUAAUUUCAAUAUAGAUGAAAAAUUUACUGACUUACUUAUUGAUGUAUUGUAGGGAAUUUGACAUCAUUCUUGUAAGUCCCCUACUGACGAAGUCCAAGGUGACAUUAGGUUUGCACUUCGUCUGUCUGUCUGUCCAUCUGUCAGUUUUCAAGACUUUUUUUUCUUCGUGCUUGAAGAUAUUGAUUUGAUAUUUGGUGUAUUGUUUUAUCAUUACGAGUUACAGGUGAAUUAUUGUUGAAUUGAUUUCACCGACUGUUCUUACAUUUGACAUGGAUGAAGAAAUCAUAAGUCACUCAUAAAUCUACUACAUCAUAGACAUUUUGACUUGGGAUACUGUAAAUUGUUGGGUGCAUUUGUUAUUGUUACUUUUGAAGAAUAGACAACAAUGCAAGAUUAAUUAUUAUGAUUUCAGGUAAAUCUGCAUACAGCUAGUAUAUGUAUCAGGUAUCAAAAUGUGAAUUCUUAUUAUUGCAAUAAUCAUAAAGAUGCAUGAAUUAAAACCUUCCAAUAACUUCUGUAUAUACAGCAGUUGUCUCAUUGGCAGUCAUAACACAUCUCCUUGUUGUAUAUAGAUAUUUGUUAAAAUUUACUUUAAUUGAAUGAUUACGGUGCUUUGUUAUAUUUUACAUAUAUAAUGUAAAUUGAAUUAUUUG
rnacentral:lncRNA from 1 species